rnacentral:tRNA from 1 species
UCCCUGGUGGUCUAGAGGUUAAGAUUCUGGGUUCCCAAUGCAGGGGGCCCAGGUUCAAUCCCUGGUCUAGGAA